AAAAUGGCGUUGAAGGGGCUAAUGCCGGCCCAUACAGUCUUCAGAGAGGGUAUUGAUUCGGUGCAAAAUACCUGACUGCAUCCCGGUGAAGCCACCCCGGAGCUUUUGGCGGUGAGCCAAACGUAUUUGCGGCGUUAACGCAGGGAAAGCGGCGGUCUGUAGAGACCGCAAACCGGGUGGUACCACGGAAGCGAUCAGCCUUCGUCCCUGUA
rnacentral:ncRNA from 1 species